UCCCGGAGAGAAAGGCGACCCAAACCUUGAAGCACCGUGGACAGACCUACAGCUUCCGAGAGACCCUAUCAUCAACACCAUCCAAAAGAAACACAUCAUGGAGCCUCAAACCCGUUCAACAUCGCCUCACCGGCAGCACGAGGAGGAGUCCAACCCUCCUAACCCGGGGACCGUGUACACCCUUUUAACCCACCACACAAGAAAGGCAGUGAGACAUAUCAGGCACACUUCCUCCGAUAAAGACGACCUUCGAACUAGUAAGAAUACCGAGUACCAAACUAACCCCAGCCCACACCCACCAGACUGUACCUCUUUCGCUGAGACCACACUUCCAAAGAUGACGCCUUUAUUGCGGGAAAGAGAGAGACCAGCACGCUGCCACAGUCCAGAACUCGACUCUGGAAGACGGAGCUCACCAAUGAGACGCAGAUGAAGUCUCAAGAACUCGUCACGCGCUGCCAUAGGCAACUCAUAAGCUCGGGCGACAACACCAAGAGAAAAACCACCCC
rnacentral:lncRNA from 1 species